rnacentral:ncRNA from 2 species
UGUCAAAAAUAAAUAUCCUCUCAUAUAAUUUCCGAAAUAUGGUCGGGAAGUUUCUACCGGGCAACCGUAAAUUGUCUGACUAUGGGUGAAAUUUAUCUAAGU